CUUCAUCCUUCCAAAUGGUUCAUAAGGUUGUUUAAAAAAAUGCCCUCAAAUAAAAACCAGUUGUUAGCCAGUCAAACUAAGUUAUCGCUGCUGAAUAUUCGCAAUGGGAUAUCAGCACAUUGACCAGGGAAAUUGGCUGACCGAUAGUAAUUUAAAUGAUUAAGGUGUAUGUUUUCCUUGAAGUCAUGGCCCCCUCAUCAGUAAUAUUUCUGUAUAUGAACGACGUCUUCAUGCAUUUAUGCCAGUUGUG
rnacentral:sRNA from 1 species